GUACUGAUGAAGAGUCCCAAACUAGGACGAAACAGCCGUUCGAUAC
rnacentral:hammerhead_ribozyme from 1 species